GAUGAACGCUGGCGGCGUGCCUAAUACAUGCAAGUCGAGCGAACGGACGAGAAGCUUGCUUCUCUGAUGUUAGCGGCGGACGGGUGAGUAACACGUGGAUAACCUACCUAUAAGACUGGGAUAACUUCGGGAAACCGGAGCUAAUACCGGAUAAUAUUUUGAACCGCAUGGUUCAAAAGUGAAAGACGGUCUUGCUGUCACUUAUAGAUGGAUCCGCGCUGCAUUAGCUAGUUGGUAAGGUAACGGCUUACCAAGGCAACGAUGCAUGGCCGACCUGAGAGGGUGAUCGGCCACACUGGAACUGAGACACGGUCCAGACUCCUACGGGAGGCAGCAGUAGGGAAUCUUCCGCAAUGGGCGAAAGCCUGACGGAGCAACGCCGCGUGAGUGAUGAAGGUCUUCGGAUCGUAAAACUCUGUUAUUAGGGAAGAACAUAUGUGUAAGUAACUGUGCACAUCUUGACGGUACCUAAUCAGAAAGCCACGGCUAACUACGUGCCAGCAGCCGCGGUAAUACGUAGGUGGCAAGCGUUAUCCGGAAUUAUUGGGCGUAAAGCGCGCGUAGGCGGUUUUUUAAGUCUGAUGUGAAAGCCCACGGCUCAACCGUGGAGGGUCAUUGGAAACUGGAAAACUUGAGUGCAGAAGAGGAAAGUGGAAUUCCAUGUGUAGCGGUGAAAUGCGCAGAGAUAUGGAGGAACACCAGUGGCGAAGGCGACUUUCUGGUCUGUAACUGACGCUGAUGUGCGAAAGCGUGGGGAUCAAACAGGAUUAGAUACCCUGGUAGUCCACGCCGUAAACGAUGAGUGCUAAGUGUUAGGGGGUUUCCGCCCCUUAGUGCUGCAGCUAACGCAUUAAGCACUCCGCCUGGGGAGUACGACCGCAAGGUUGAAACUCAAAGGAAUUGACGGGGACCCGCACAAGCGGUGGAGCAUGUGGUUUAAUUCGAAGCAACGCGAAGAACCUUACCAAAUCUUGACAUCCUUUGACAACUCUAGAGAUAGAGCCUUCCCCUUCGGGGGACAAAGUGACAGGUGGUGCAUGGUUGUCGUCAGCUCGUGUCGUGAGAUGUUGGGUUAAGUCCCGCAACGAGCGCAACCCUUAAGCUUAGUUGCCAUCAUUAAGUUGGGCACUCUAAGUUGACUGCCGGUGACAAACCGGAGGAAGGUGGGGAUGACGUCAAAUCAUCAUGCCCCUUAUGAUUUGGGCUACACACGUGCUACAAUGGACAAUACAAAGGGCAGCGAAACCGCGAGGUCAAGCAAAUCCCAUAAAGUUGUUCUCAGUUCGGAUUGUAGUCUGCAACUCGACUACAUGAAGCUGGAAUCGCUAGUAAUCGUAGAUCAGCAUGCUACGGUGAAUACGUUCCCGGGUCU
rnacentral:rRNA from 1 species